UCCGGUUGAUCCUGCCGGCGGCCACCGCUAUAGGAAUUCGAUUAAGACAUGCGAGUCGAGAGUCUUCGGGACUCGGCGGACUGCUCAGUAACACGUGGAUAACAUGCCCUUAGGAGGGGGAUAAUCUCGAGAAAUUGAGGAUAAUACCCCAUAGGCCAUGAAUGCUGGAAUGCUUUAUGGCCCAAAGCUCCGGCGCCUAAGGAUUGGUCUGCGGCCUAUCAGGUUGUAGUGGGUGUAACGGACCCACUAGCCUAUGACGGGUAUGGGCCUUGAGAGAGGGAGCCCAGAGAUGGACUCUGAGACACGAGUCCAGGCCCUACGGGGCGCAGCAGUCGCGAAACCUUCACACUGGGGGAAACCCUGAUGAGGGAAUUCCUAGUGCCUGCAUUUUUUGUAGGCUUUUAUCUAGUGUAGAUAGCUAGAAGAAUAAGGGCCGGGUAAGACGGGUGCCAGCCGCCGCGGUAAUACCCGCGGCCCAAGUGGUGGUCGAUAUUAUUGAGUCUAAAACGUCCGUAGCCGGUUCAGUAAAUCUUUGGGUAAAUCGGCCAGCUUAACUGACCGAAUUCCGAAGAGACUGCUGAACUUGGGACCGGGAGAGGCCAGAGGUACUUCUGGGGUAGGGGUAAAAUCCUGUAAUCCUAGAAGGACCACCGGUGGCGAAGGCGUCUGGCUAGAACGGAUCCGACGGUGAGGGACGAAGCCCUGGGGCGCAAACGGGAUUAGAUACCCCGGUAGUCCAGGGUGUAAACGCUGCAGGCUUGGUGUUGGGGGUCCUUCGGGGGCGCCCAGUGCCGGAGAGAAGUUGUUAAGCCUGCUACUUGGGGAGUACGUCCGCAAGGAUGAAACUUAAAGGAAUUGGCGGGGGAGCACCGCAACGGGAGGAGCGUGCGGUUUAAUUGGAUUCAACACCGGAAAACUCACCAGGAGCGACGGUUACAUGAAAGUCAGGCUGAUGACCUUACUAGAUUUUCCGAGAGGUGGUGCAUGGCCGUCGUCAGUUCGUACCGCAAGGCGUUCUCU
rnacentral:rRNA from 1 species